rnacentral:rRNA from 1 species
GCCAGACUCCUACGGGAGGCAGCAGUGAGGAAUAUUGGUCAAUGGGCGGGAGCCUGAACCAGCCAAGUCGCGUGAGGGAAGACGGCCCUACGGGUUGUAAACCUCUUUUGUCAGGGAGCAAGGUGCAGGUCGGGACCUGCUGUGAGAGUACCUGAAGAAAAAGCAUCGGCUAACUCCGUGCCAGCAGCCGCGGUAAUACGGAGGAUGCGAGCGUUAUCCGGAUUUAUUGGGUUUAAAGGGUGCGCAGGCGGGGGCACAAGUCAGCGGUAAAAUCGCGGGGCUCACCCCCGCUCCGCCGUUGAAACUGGCGGGCUGGAGUUGGAGAGAAGUACGCGGAAUGCGCGGUGUAGCGGUGAAAUGCUUAGAUAUCGCGCAGAACCCCGAUUGCGAAGGCAGCGUACCGGCUCCACACUGACGCUGAGGCACGAAAGCGUGGGUAUCGAACAGGAUUAGAUACCCCUGUA